GACGAACGCUGGCGGCGUGUUUAGCACAUGCAAGUCGAACGGAAAGGCCCUUCGGGGUACUCGAGUGGCGAACGGGUGAGUAACACGUGGGUGAUCUGCCCUGCACUUUGGGAUAAGCCUGGGAAACUGGGUCUAAUACCGAAUAGGACCACGCGCUUCAUGGUGUGUGGUGGAAAGCUUUUGCGGUGUGGGAUGGGCCCGCGGCCUAUCAGCUUGUUGGUGGGGUAAUGGCCUACCAAGGCGACGACGGGUAGCCGGCCUGAGAGGGUGACCGGCCACACUGGGACUGAGAUACGGCCCAGACUCCUACGGGAGGCAGCAGUGGGGAAUAUUGCACAAUGGGCGCAAGCCUGAUGCAGCGACGCCGCGUGAGGGAUGACGGCCUUCGGGUUGUAAACCUCUUUCAAUAGGGACGAAGCGCAAGUGACGGUACCUAUAGAAGAAGCACCGGCCAACUACGUG
rnacentral:rRNA from 1 species